rnacentral:rRNA from 1 species
AUUGAACGCUGGCGGCAGGCCUAACACAUGCAAGUCGAGCGGAGCGGCGGACGGGUGAGUAUUGCCUAGGAAUCUGCCUGGUCGUGGGGGAUAACGUCCGGAAACGGGCGCUAUUACCGCAUCCUAUUACAUGAGCCUAGGUCGGAUUAGCUAGUUGGUGGGGUAAUGGCCUACCAAGGCGACGAUCCGUAACUGGUCUGAGAGGAUGAUCAGUCACACUGGAACUGAGACACGGUCCAGACUCCUACGGGAGGCAGCAGUGGGGAAUAUUGGACAAUGGGCGAAAGCCUGAUCCAGCCAUGCCGCGUGUGUGAAGAAGGUCUUCGGAUUGUAAAGCACUUUAAGUUGGGAGGCGUUACCAGCAGAAUAAGCACCGGCUAACUUCGUGCCAGCAGCCGCGGUAAUAC